AUUGAACGCUGGCGGCAGGCCUAACGCAUGCAAGUCGAGCGGGGUUUUCGGACCUAGCGGCGGACGGGUGAGUAAUGCGUAGGAAGCUACCCGGUAGAGGGGGAUACCAGUUGGAAACGACUGUUAAUACCGCAUAAUGUCUACGGACCAAAGUGUGGGACCUUCGGGCCACAUGCUAUCGGAUGCGCCUACGUGGGAUUAGCUAGUUGGUGAGGUAAUGGCUCACCAAGGCGACGAUCCCUAGCUGGUUUGAGAGGAUGAUCAGCCACACUGGAACUGAGACACGGUCCAGACUCCUACGGGAGGCAGCAGUGGGGAAUAUUGGACAAUGGGCGCAAGCCUGAUCCAGCCAUGCCGCGUGUGUGAAGAAGGCCUUCGGGUUGUAAAGCACUUUCAGUAGGGAGGAAGCGUUGUGUGUUAAUAGUACACAGCGUUGACGUUACCUACAGAAGAAGCACCGGCUAACUCUGUGCCAGCCGCCGCGGUAAUAC
rnacentral:rRNA from 1 species